UUAGGACAUUUUUGAUAUAUAUCAGGGGAUAAUUUGAUUGAAUAUUGCAAUUUUGGAUAUACUGAGACGGGCAUUUAGGAGGUGAAAAUACACCAACAAACUGUAAGCUAUUUUUUUCCAAAAAGAACAGAUACGAAGGUACAGGAUUUCACUGCCCAACAGAUGAAGAAAUCCUGGCUGCAGAACAACUUUGCUAUGAGCGUCACAGUGAUGAGUCAUGUUCAUGUGGAAAGUGUACUCAUCUGGAGAUCUUUUGUCUAGCAUAUUGGCCAUGUCUCAUAUGUUUCAGGGUCAGCACACAUUGUAGCUCAAUAAAUAAGGUCACUGUGUGGAUAACCAGCAUAUAAGCUGCUCUGAACUCCUUGGGAAAAAGCAGGAUGAAAAUAUCCAUUUCAUUUAUUUAGAAUAUUUCAAGUUUCUACUACCAUGGAUGCCAAAAGUUCUUCAGUAGAGACACUGACUAAAUUUAGAGCUGUUUGGCCACAGCAUCAUAUUCCAUCAUCAUCUUAUUACAGACAUAAGAGUGGUGACCCACAGAUUAGAAGCUUCCUGGCAGUCAGAAGUACUGGGAUAUCGAGCAGGGUAUUAGUAUCUCUUGGUGGCAUAAGGUUCAAAUACAACUGAGGGCCAGCAAUUUUAGCAGCCAAGAAAAGAUGCAUGGAUUAGAUGCUAUCAACAGCAGCUCAAACAUAAUUUGGUUGGAUCCUGCAAUUAAAGCCAUUGUUUUCA